rnacentral:rRNA from 1 species
UAUCUGGUUGAUCCUGCCAGUAGUCAUACGCUCGUCUCAAAGAUUAAGCCAUGCAUGUGUAAGUAUAAAUAAUUUUACUUUGAAACUGCGAAUGGCUCAUUAUAUCAGUUAUAGUUUAUUAGAAAUACUUUGCUACUUGGAUAACCGUAGUAAUUCUAGGGCUAAUACAUGAAUAAAUCCUCAACUUCGGAAGAGGUGUGUUUAUUAGUAUGAAAACCAUAUAUCUUCGGAUAUAAUAGUGAGUAAUGAUAACCUUUCGUAUCGUAUGUCGUAAGAUAACGAUAGUUCUUUCAAGUUUCUGCCCUAUCAGCUUUCGAUGGUAGUAUAUGGGACUACCAUGGCAGUAACGGGUAACGAAGAAUUUGGGUUCGAUUUCGGAGAGGGAGCCUGAGAGAUGGCUACCACAUCCAAGGGAGGCAGCAGGCGCGUAAAUUACCCAAUCCUGACAUAGGGAGGUAGUGACAAUAAAUCACAAUGCGGAACUAUUUAGUUUUGCAAUUGGAUUGAGAACAAUGUACAAAUGUUAUCGAUAAACAAUUGGAGGGCAAGUCUGGUGCCAGCAGCCGCGGUAAUUCCAGCUCCAAUAGCGUAUAUUAACGUUGUUGCAGUUAAAAAGCUC